rnacentral:tRNA from 1 species
GGGGAUUUAGCUCAGUGGUAGAGCGCUUGCCUAGUAGCAAUGCAAGGCCCUGGGUUCGAUCCCCAGCUCCG